rnacentral:rRNA from 1 species
UACGUAGGGUGCAAGCGUUGUCCGGAAUUAUUGGGCGUAAAGGGCGCGUAGGCGGUCGGAUAAGUCUUGUGUGAAAUCUUCGGGCUCAACUCGAAGUCUGCACAGGAAACUAUCUGGCUUGAGUGUGGGAGAGGUGAGUGGAAUUCCUGGUGUAGCGGUGAAAUGCGUAGAUAUCAGGAGGAACACCUGUGGCGAAAGCGGCUCACUGGACCACAACUGACGCUGAGGCGCGAAAGCUAGGGGAGCAAACAGG